CCUACGGGAGACAGUAGUAGGGAAUCUUCCACAAUGGGCGAAAGCCUGAUGGAGCAACGCCGCGUGGGUGAAGAAGGUCUUCGGAUCGUAAAACCCUGUUGUUAGAGAAGAAAGUGCGUGAGAGUAACUGUUCACGUUUCGACGGUAUCUAACCAGAAAGCCACGGCUAACUACGUGCCAGCAGCCGCGGUAAUACGUAGGUGGCAAGCGUUAUCCGGAUUUAUUGGGCGUAAAGGGAACGCAGGCGGUCUUUUAAGUCUGAUGUGAAAGCCUUCGGCUUAACCGGAGUAGUGCAUUGGAAACUGGGAGACUGGAGUGCAGAAGAGGAGAGUGGAACUCCAUGUGUAGCGGUGAAAUGCGUAGAUAUAUGGAAGAACACCAGUGGCGAAAGCGGCUCUCUGGUCUGUAACUGACGCUGAGGUUCGAAAGCGUGGGUAGCAAACAGGAUUAGAUACCCUAGUAGUC
rnacentral:rRNA from 1 species